rnacentral:rRNA from 1 species
UACGAAGGGGGCUAGCGUUGCUCGGAAUCACUGGGCGUAAAGCGCACGUAGGCGGCUUCUUAAGUCAGGGGUGAAAUCCUGGAGCUCAACUCCAGAACUGCCUUUGAUACUGAGGAGCUUGAGUCCGGGAGAGGUGAGUGGAACUGCGAGUGUAGAGGUGGAAUUCGUAGAUAUUCGCAAGAACACCAGUGGCGAAGGCGGCUCACUGGCCCGGUACUGACGCUGAGGUGCGAAAGCGUGGGGAGCAAACAGG